CAGCCGCCGCGGUAAUACCGGCGGCCCGAGUGGCGGUCACUAUUAUUGGGCUUAAAGCGUCCGUAGCCGGGUUGGGAAGUCCUCCGGGAAAUCUGGCCGCUUAACGGUCAGAAUGCCGGAGGAUACUCCCAGCCUAGGGACCGGGAGAGGCCGAGGGUAUUCCCGGAGUAGGGGUGAAAUCCUAUAAUCCCGGGAGGACCACCUGUGGCGAAGGCGCUCGGCUGGAACGCGUCCGACGGUGAGGGACGAAGGCCAGGGGAGCAAACCGGAUUAGAUACCCGGGUAGUCCUGGCUGUAAACGAUGCGGACUUUGUGUCGGACAAGCUAUGAGCUUGUCCGGUGCCGGAGGGAAACCGUUAAGUCCGCCGCCUGGGGAGUACGGCCGCAAGGCUGAAACUUAAAGGAAUUGGCGGG
rnacentral:rRNA from 1 species